CUGCGGGCCUCGGGUAGGACAUGCCUGCUGUAGAUAAAGCAGCAUUCCCUUAGACAAAACUGCAGCCUGAUUCUUUUGGCAGGGCUGUAUUGCCAAGCUGGGAAAAGGAAGAAUAAAUCCACCUGCAAGCCGAGGUCCUCAAGAAACAGCUUGGAGACACUGAGCAGCAAAGUUCAGCAAUUAUGGGCCAAAAGAGAAUUGAUAGAGCUUAUAUCUCCUUUUCUGGUGAACACAUGUUCUGUCCAUGGAAUAAUUCAUGCUACAGCUUCUGGGUUAAAACUUUCAAGGUAUAGACCGUGGUAUAUUGUCAACUGCCGUUAGAAGGGAAAAGAAAAACUGAGUAUGGCAACUUGCAGCUGAAGUCUGAGUUGCCCCAUAAUGCAAAGAAAUGCUGAAUGGGAAGUAACCUUCCGUCCUCUAGUGACUUUUCUUUCAGUUAUUCCAGGACUGGGAGCGGAAGAAUAGCCAUGUCUUGCUCCCAGCUGAAAUUUUCCAAGACCCCAAAGCUGUAAUCAGAGAAGAAACAGUGAAAUCUAUUUGCCAUUGCAUCUUGCUACAAGUAGAGCUUAGCAGGGACUCUACUUCAACCUUCUAAGGAGGGUUUUCUUGUCCCUUGUUACUUUAAAGACAUUCAGUAUGUGCAGGCUGAUUUCAUGGCAUGGAAAGAUGUAAUGGAAAAAAAUUAUUGUGAGCUAAUGUACACCAAAGUUUUAACAUAUGUUCUUCUGAUAGUCAGGCUUUCUUUAGGGGAACAGAACAGUACCUCAGUCUUUGACAGUUCUCUAGUUAAACAGAAAAUAGUACAGUCAAAUCUAAUAGCUGGAGGCUGAAGGCAAAGAAAUUCACACUGGAAAUAAAGUUGGCAUACAUAACUGAACAUUGAAACACUUUACUGGGGAAUGUGAUGGAUUCUCAAUCCACUUGUCACUUCACAUCAAGACCAGUCAAUUUUUCAGGCCAUGUGAUGUUGAUGUUCUGACUGGAUAUUCAUGAAAGAUGUUUUAUUUAACACUUAUAAGCCUACAGAAUUACAUAUUUGGUAAUGAAUUAAACUAUAUGUU
rnacentral:lncRNA from 7 species